CCUGCGGGGGGCAGCAGUGGGGAAUAUUGGACAAUGGGCGAAAGCCUGAUCCAGCCAUGCCGCGUGUGUGAAGAAGGCCUUCGGGUUGUAAAGCACUUUCAGUGGGGAAGAAAGCCUUGGGGCUAAUACCCUCGAGGAAGGACAUCACCCACAGAAGAAGCACCGGCUAACUCCGUGCCAGCAGCCGCGGUAAUACGGAGGGUGCGAGCGUUAAUCGGAAUUACUGGGCGUAAAGCGCGCGUAGGCGGUCUGAUAAGCCGGUUGUGAAAGCCCCGGGCUCAACCUGGGAACGGCAUCCGGAACUGUCAGGCUAGAGUGCAGGAGAGGAAGGUAGAAUUCCCGGUGUAGCGGUGAAAUGCGUAGAGAUCGGGAGGAAUACCAGUGGCGAAGGCGGCCUUCUGGACUGACACUGACGCUGAGGUGCGAAAGCGUGGGUAGCAAACAGGAUUAGAUACCCCGGUAGUC
rnacentral:rRNA from 1 species